GGGGACACUUCCUGGAGCAGCCCUAAGGUCUGGGAUGCUGGGGCUUGGGAAGCGCCCUGAAAACUCUGCAGGUGUAGAGCUUCCCUCUAACAAUGGAUCCAAGCAGUGUCCAGAAAUAGACUCAAGUACCCCUGGGAAAUGAGCAUGUGAUGGUGGGACCUUCCAAGUCCAGAGGGAAGGUGGCUCCGCGGGUGACAUGAGAACAACGGUCAGGCAUCUGAAUGAGGCUGCUGUAAAAGGUUCUAGUGUUUAAACAUAAAACUUACCCUACUAAAGCACUAGAAGAAAAAUGAGCACGGAUUUUAAAGUCUUGGACUGGAAAAGUCUCUAAAAAUAAUGCAGGAAACUAGAAACCAGGGAAACUUCAUUAAGUAAACAUUUAAAAUGUUUGCUGUAUGAAAAAUAAUCUAAUAAACAAAGUUCCAAAUAGUGAAAAACCAGGAAAGAUCUACAACCUAUUUGAGAUAAUUUCCCUAAUAAAAUAAUAAACACAAAACCUUCAUGGAUCAAAAGAUAUAAAUGGUUCACAAAUAUAUUAAAUGAUGUUUAACCUCCCUUGCCAUUAAGAAAAUGCGAAUUAAAUAUGAUGGUACCACCAUGAAAUGAUGAAUGAGGUCACUUUUCAACUCUCAUGCGCAAAAUUUAAAAUCGCACCCAUAAAUAGCCAGAAUGUGGAAAGACUGGUAGGCCAUACAUUGUUGGUAGAAUAAACUGGAGCAGCAUUUGGGGGGAGAUUUGUCAGCAGAACUCAAAAUUUUUAAUGUACGUGACCUUUGACCCAGCUUUCCGUCAUUUACAAACAUGUUUCCAAAGAUACACAAAAGAGCCACUUGCAGCAUCACUUGUUAAGCAAAGCAAGCACCAAGGAAAAACUCUGGAAAGCCUAUUAAAGGGCUAAUUUAAAUAAAUCAUGCUACCGUCAUGCAGUAAGAUACUACACACCCACUAAAAAUGCCUGAUCUCAUCUGUAAGAUCCCCAAGGCAUAAAAGUGAAAAAUGUAAAGUGUAGCAGGAUCCUAACUUGGUCUUAUUUGUUUUUAAUAUUACAGAAUAUUCAUAUAUAUUCUUCAUAUAUGCAAAUCUGAGGAUGUGAGAAUCUGCUAAUGAUUUCUCCUAAUGAGUAGAACUGGUGGGUGGGAGAUAGUUUUGGUUUUCUCUUUAUUUAUUUAUUUAUUUAUUAGCACAAUACAUAGACUUUAUUCAGAUUAUAUCAGUUUAAAAUGAACUCAUGUGUGUGUGAAAUCUAUAUAAUUU
rnacentral:lncRNA from 1 species